rnacentral:rRNA from 1 species
UACGGAGGGAGCUAGCGUUGUCCGGAAUUAUUGGGCGUAAAGAGCUCGUAGGCGGCCAACUAAGUCAGACGUGAAAUCCCUCGGCUUAACCUGGGAACUGCAUUCGAGACUGCAUUGCUAGAGUAUGGGAGAGGGAAGUGGAAUUUCCGGUGUAGCGGUGAAAUGCGUAGAUAUCGGAAGGAACAUCAGUGGCGAAAGCGACUUCCUGGACCAAUACUGACGCUCAUGUGCGAAAGCGUGGGGAGCAAACAGG